UACGAAGGGUGCAAGCGUUAAUCGGAAUUACUGGGCGUAAAGGGUGCGUAGGCGGUUGUUUAAGUCUGUCGUGAAAUCCCCGGGCUCAACCUGGGAAUGGCGAUGGAAACUGGGCAGCUAGAGUAUGGUAGAGGAAGGUGGAAUUCCCGGUGUAGCAGUGAAAUGCGUAGAGAUCGGGAGGAACACCAGUGGCGAAGGCGGCCUUCUGGACCAAUACUGACGCUCAUGCACGAAAGCGUGGGGAGCAAACAGG
rnacentral:rRNA from 1 species